AUGCAAACACCGCCCCGAAGGCCAAGAUUGCCGACUCGCCGGAUCCACCUCGACAGCGACUCCACUGCAUCGUCGGAUCCACGAGCUCGUCGCGAUCAGCGCCAAGUUCUUCAUGAUCGACAACAAGAGGACGCUCGAACCCGCAUCGAGCGCCGAAGAGAAGCGCGGCGUCAAUCCGACAAGCGCGCUGGGCCCUCUGUUGACAUGCAUGCGCCAGGGGAACUAGGCGAUCUGCCGUACGCGGUAGGUUGUCCUGCGUUCACUCGUGACCUGCGGCAAGUCCAGUGGCCCAGUACAAAGAACUUCAAGCCAGACGUACCGGAGAAGUACGACGGCAAGACGCAUCCGUCAGAGUUCCUCAGCAUCUACACCAUUGCGGCGCAAGCUGCCGGGGGACGAGAUGACAAGAUCCUUGCCAACUACUUCCCGCUGGUGCUCAAGCCCAAUGUCAGAUCCUGGCUCGUGCACUUGCCGGACAACUCCAUAUCCUCUUGGGCUGAUCUGUGCCAUCAGUUUGUCGGCGCCUUUACAGGCGGACACAAGCCUCAUGGCCAGGAGAGUGAUCUUCAUCUGCUCGCCCAGAAGGAAGGAGAGCCCCUGCGCAAGUACAUUCAGAGAUUCAGUAGCGUGCAGCACAACAUCUCAGACGUCCACCCUGCCGCGGUGAUCAGCGCAUUCCAUCAGAACGUGCGGAACCGCAGCAUGCGGGAGGAAAUGGCGAUGUGCAAGAUCAGGGACGUCAGUGAGUUAUAUGCACUGGCCGACAAGUGUGCGCGUGCUGAGGAAGGGAGGAGACUCCCCGGAGAAAAUAUAGGAGCGGGAGGAUCUGACAGCGAAGAUGCCGCCCCGACAAGGAAAAACCGUCGGCGGAACAACAGAAGGAGGAAAGGCAAAGAAGUGCUAGUUGUUGAGCAGUCCGGCAACGGUGGCGGCGCCAAGGAAGCCAAAGCUGGUGACUCCGGCAAGGAGGUUGCCGCGGAGGUGGCGGUCGCCGACAAGCAAGACGGCACCAGCAAGCAGUAUUGCAAAAUUCACCGCACCAAGGGCCAUGAUCUUCAGAACUGCAAGAGGGUCGAGCAGCUUGUUGAGCAACAUAGAGCUGAAUACGAGCGGCGCGACAAAGAGAAGGACCAGGAAGGAGCUGGUGGGUCCGGCAAGAAACGUCCCGGCCGAGGAGGACGCCGCGGCAAGGCAGCGGCAAGGAGACAGACCUCCUCGAGGCCGCGACAAGGAUGA
rnacentral:rRNA from 1 species